rnacentral:rRNA from 1 species
UACGGAAGGCAGCAGUGGGGAAUAUUGCACAAUGGGCGCAAGCCUGAUGCAGCCAUGCCGCGUGUAAUGAAAAAGGCCUUCGGGUUGUAAAGUACUUUCAGUCGUGAGGAAGGUGUUAAGGUUAAUAACCUUAGCAAUUGACGUUAGCGACAGAAGAAGCACCGGCUAACUCCGUGCCAGCAGCCGCGGUAAUACGGAGGGUGCGAGCGUUAAUCGGAAUUACUGGGCGUAAAGGGCACGCAGGCGGUUAAUUAAGUUGGAUGUGAAAUCCCCGGGCUUAACCUGGGAAUGGCAUUCAAGACUGGUUAGCUAGAGUCUUGUAGAGGGGGUAGAAUUCCAUGUGUAGCGGUGAAAUGCGUAGAGAUGUGGAGGAAUACCGGUGGCGAAGGCGGCCCCUGGACAAAGACUGACGCUCAUGUGCGAAAGCGUGGGGAGCAAACAGGGAUUAGAUACC